rnacentral:rRNA from 1 species
UGCAGUCGAACGGUGAAGCAGGAGCUUGCUCUUGUGGAUCAGUGGCGAACGGGUGAGUAACACGUGAGCAACCUGCCCCUGACUCUGGGAUAAGCGCUGGAAACGGCGUCUAAUACUGGAUAUGUGACGUGACCGCAUGGUCUGCGUUUGGAAAGAUUUUUCGGUUGGGGAUGGGCUCGCGGCCUAUCAGCUUGUUGGUGAGGUAAUGGCUCACCAAGGCGUCGACGGGUAGCCGGCCUGAGAGGGUGACCGGCCACACUGGGACUGAGACACGGCCCAGACUCCUACGGGAGGCAGCAGUGGGGAAUAUUGCACAAUGGGCGAAAGCCUGAUGCAGCAACGCCGCGUGAGGGAUGACGGCCUUCGGGUUGUAAACCUCUUUUAGCAGGGAAGAAGCGAAAGUGACGGUACCUGCAGAAAAAGCGCCGGCUAACUACGUGCCAGCAGCCGCGGUAAUACGUAGGGCGCAAGCGUUAUCCGGAAUUAUUGGGCGUAAAGAGCUCGUAGGCGGUUUGUCGCGUCUGCUGUGAAAUCCCGAGGCUCAACCUCGGGCCUGCAGUGGGUACGGGCAGACUAGAGUGCGGUAGGGGAGAUUGGAAUUCCUGGUGUAGCGGUGGAAUGCGCAGAUAUCAGGAGGAACACCGAUGGCGAAGGCAGAUCUCUGGGCCGUAACUGACGCUGAGGAGCGAAAGGGUGGGGAGCAAACAGGCUUAGAUACCCUGGUAGUCCACCCCGUAAACGUUGGGAACUAGUUGUGGGGUCCAUUCCACGGAUUCCGUGACGCAGCUAACGCAUUAAGUUCCCCGCCUGGGGAGUACGGCCGCAAGGCUAAAACUCAAAGGAAUUGACGGGGACCCGCACAAGCGGCGGAGCAUGCGGAUUAAUUCGAUGCAACGCGAAGAACCUUACCAAGGCUUGACAUAUACGAGA